rnacentral:rRNA from 1 species
UUUGGACAAUGGGCGCAAGCCUGAUCCAGCCAUGCCGCGUGCAGGAUGAAGGCCCUCGGGUUGUAAACUGCUUUUGUACGGAACGAAAAGCCUCUUUCUAAUAAAGAGGGGUGAUGACGGUACCGUAAGAAUAAGCACCGGCUAACUACGUGCCAGCAGCCGCGGUAAUCCGUAGGGUGCGAGCGUUAAUCGGAAUUACUGGGCGUAAAGCGUGCGCAGGCGGUCUUGCAAGACAGUGGUGAAAUCCCCGGGCUCAAGCUGGGAACUGGAAUUGAGACUGCAAGGCUGGAGUACGGGAGAGAGAGAUGGAAUUCCGCGUGUAGCAGUGAAAUGCGUAGAUAUGCGGAGGAACACCGAUGGCGAAGGCAGUCCCCUGCGCCUGUACUGACGCUCAUGCACGAA